CAAUUGUGUUAAAUAAUUGUUUUCAUGUUUAAAUCUGGAAUUUAUUUAACAGAAACUGGAACUUGUCAUAAGCAUAAAUCAACUGAUGAAGAUGUUGUUUUAUUUACACAUUACAUCAUUUCAAGCAGAGUCAUUGAUAUUGGAUUAUAUAUUCUCACUCACUCAAUCACAACCUGUCUGUCUACACAUUACACCGCCAGCAAACCCACCAGAGUUCUACAUGAAGACACGCGUCUCUCUACAUUCUCUUCAUCAUCCCU
rnacentral:lncRNA from 1 species